GAUGAACGCUGGCGGCGUGCCUAAUACAUGCAAGUCGAGCGAACAGACGAGGAGCUUGCUCCUCUGACGUUAGCGGCGGACGGGUGAGUAACACGUGGAUAACCUACCUAUAAGACUGGGAUAACUUCGGGAAACCGGAUCUAAUACCGGAUAAUAUAUUGAACCGCAUGGUUCAAUAGUGAAAGACGGUUUUGCUGUCACUUAUAGAUGGAUCCGCGCCGCAUUAGCUAGUUGGUAAGGUAACGGCUUACCAAGGCAACGAUGCGUAGCCGACCUGAGAGGGUGAUCGGCCACACUGGAACUGAGACACGGUCCAGACUCCUACGGGAGGCAGCAGUAGGGAAUCUUCCGCAAUGGGCGAAAGCCUGACGGAGCAACGCCGCGUGAGUGAUGAAGGUCUUCGGAUCGUAAAACUCUGUUAUUAGGGAAGAACAAAUGUGUAAGUAACUAUGCACGUCUUGACGGUACCUAAACAGAAAGCCACGGCUAACUACGUG
rnacentral:rRNA from 1 species